UACGAAGGGGGCUAGCGUUGUUCGGAAUCACUGGGCGUAAAGCGCACGUAGGCGGACUGAUAAGUCGGGGGUGAAAUCCCGGGGCUCAACCCCGGAACUGCCUUCGAUACUGUCAGUCUCGAGUCCGAGAGAGGUGAGUGGAAUUCCUAGUGUAGAGGUGAAAUUCGUAGAUAUUAGGAAGAACACCAGUGGCGAAGGCGGCUCACUGGCUCGGUACUGACGCUGAGGUGCGAAAGCGUGGGGAGCAAACAGG
rnacentral:rRNA from 1 species